rnacentral:rRNA from 1 species
GAUGAACGCUGGCGGCGUGCCUAAUACAUGCAAGUCGAGCGAACAGACGAGGAGCUUGCUCCUCUGACGUUAGCGGCGGACGGGUGAGUCACACGUGGAUAACCUACCUCUAAGACUGGGAUAACUUCGGGAAACCGGAGCUAAUACCGGAUAAUAUAUUGAACCGCAUGGUUCAAUAGUGAAAGACGGUUUUGCUGUCACUUAUAGAUGGAUCCGCGCCGCAUUAGCUAGUUGGUAAGGUAACGGCUUACCAAGGCGACGAUGCGUAGCCGACCUGAGAGGGUGAUCGGCCACACUGGAACUGAGAAACGGUCCAGACUCCGACGGGAGGCAGCAGUAGGGAAUCUUCCGCAAUGGGCGAAAGCCUGACGGAGCAACGCCGCGUGAGUGAUGAAGGUCUUCGGAUCGUAAAACUCUGUUAUUAGGGAAGAACAAAUGUGUAAGUAACUAUGCACGUCUUGACGGUACCGAAUCAGAAAGCCACGGCUAACUACGUG